UACGUAGGGUGCAAGCGUUGUCCGGAAUUAUUGGGCGUAAAGAGCUUGUAGGCGGUUUGUCGCGUCUGCUGUGAAAACUCGGGGCUUAACCCCGGGCCUGCAGUGGGUACGGGCAGACUAGAGUGCGGUAGGGGAGACUGGAAUUCCUGGUGUAGCGGUGAAAUGCGCAGAUAUCAGGAGGAACACCGGUGGCGAAGGCGGGUCUCUGGACAGUUCCUGACGCUGAGGCACGAAGGCCAGGGGAGCAAACGGG
rnacentral:rRNA from 1 species